CCCCAACCAUUAUGUAUUUUACAGAGCAUUGCACAAAUUACUCAAACAAUAGAAUCAGGGCAGACAUGGGUCAAUUGGCUGUAUACUCUUUGACAUCAGUAGUUAAAUGUAUGAAGAAGACCUCACAGGACUUUAUAUUGUACAACUGUUUAAAGUAGCAGUCACUGAAUUUAUUUGUCUGUCUCGUUUACACCAGACGAAAAGAAAGAUGUUUCCAGGAGAAACGGAGAGCUUUCCCACGCCAAAGAUGUUGGGUUGAAGCUAAGGGAAGCUCUGAAACAGCAGCUCACCAUCAUCCAUGAAAGAGUGGAGGCUAGGAAGAUAGCUAAAUUGGCACUGGCAGAAGUGAGGCACAUCCUAGCCAAAGAGGAGGAAGAGAGGACCCUGAACCGUAUCAGGGAGGAGUCGGAGGCCAAGGCUUGGGAGAGGGCUGAGGCUCGACUGAAAGAGGAGGGGGAGAGAAUAGAGAAAGAGGAUGUGGAAAAGGCUAUGGCAAGAAUUAGAAAGGAGAAGGAGGAAAGAGAGAAAAUGGCUGAAAUUGAAGAAGCAAAGAAGAUUAUGAAGGUGGAAAAUGAUGAAGUGAAGAAAAAGCCAGAGGCUGAAAAGAAAUCUCUUGAGAAACCUGCUGCUGAUGAUGAUGGUAAAAAGGUUGAGAAAAAUGGAAAAGGCAAAGAAUCCAAGAAGGCUGCAGCUAAAAAGAAGCUGUAAGGCAGCACAUCAGCUACUGUUAGAUAUUUUGUGUACAUUUGUUAACAUUUGGCUAAAUUUAAUCUCAGGCCAUUGUGAGUCUUCAGAGACCACAUCUUAUAAACCGAAGGCAAGACCUUUUGUCUCUAUGAGAGAUAAGCAGUGAUGUAAAUAACAUUGAGAUUAGUAGAGGCAAAAACAGAACGAGGUGCUAUAUGCCGAUUGUUGUAAGGAAGUUCUUUAUUUAUCUUAAAAAUGUUUUUAUUUGAGGGUAGAAUUUUGGUUUACUCUUACAAAAUGCUAGCUAUUUUGUGAGAUUUCAACAUCGAUGUUUCUCUGAUUUUUUUUUUCUUCUUUCAUUUAUAAGAAAUAUAACAGCUAGCAUUAUUUUACUAAGUGAGAACAUUCUUGUUAUCAAUAAACUACAUUAAUCCCCUGAUUUGUUUUA